UCUGAGUCCUGCUCUCUCAGGUGCUCCCUCUGAGGAAAGUCGUGUGGUGACUGGGGGAAGUCUCCAGCCAACAACCAGGGAGGAACCGAAGCCUCCCAACAGUUGAGAAGCAAGUCAUCCCUCCGUUGAGCUUUCAGAUGAGCCUGCAGCCCCAGCUGGCACCUGGCUGCCACCUCAGGACACAUUUUUGAGUCGGAGGCACCCAGAGGAGUGGCGCCUGGACUCCUGACCCGCAGAAACAGUUUCCAACAGAACGUAACUGUAAUUUUCCUUCACCUCAGAGUCUACUGGUAAGGAUGUCAGUGUGACCGGGGAAAUUCCCUCAACUGUCUGUCUACAAGAGACUUUCAAAUCCCUCAAGCAAUUGCUAAGUGAUCUUAGAACUAAAGUUGCCUGAAUCUAGAGAUUUUUGGUCAGAGUCGCUUCAUUGGAAGUUUGUAGUGAAACAUCGCCCUCUUCUGGACAUUUGGGCAUCAUACAAUGAAGAUGGACAAAGUAUUUUUGAAAGAGCUAAAGUACAAUUGUGCUGAAUGACAAUGAACAGCUGUUGUUAUCACUUAUCAUAUGUAUGCUUUACUACUCAAAGUGACUCCUCACAAUGGAAUAAGAAAAACAUUUUGGAACUUGCAGAGCAGUAAUUUUCCAUUUUUAUGAAGGUGGCUGAGUGCUGGGUACAGGAGUAGAUAAAAGUUUUAACUAUUAGGAAAUGUCUUAACUAUCCUAUAAUAAUACCUAACUAUAAUAAUACUAUAUAAAUAAACUAUAAUAAUAAUAAUACCUAAACCAUCAGAAUCAAAUAGCUCCAAUGAGCCCUGAGUAGGAAGAACAUCAUAUGUAUAAGAUAAUUGGAGAAAGAACACAAUGAAUAGAG